UUUAACGUGCAACUUUUCAUUGCAGUUUAACUUGAAAUUUGCUUUACAAAUUUCUCGAAGAAAAUUAAAAAGUCUCAUUUUUGAGAUUAAAGACAAAAGGAAAAGGAAAGGGAAUAAAAAAAAUAUUCGGAAAAACCACAUGCACAGCUGUUUUUGAAUCGAUGAAACUUGCAUUUGCUUUCAUGAUAAUGAUGGCUAUCCCAAUGAUAUCGACUGUAUCAAGUCAGUCCAACAGCCCUUCAGAAGAACAGGUUCGUUUCGGUGUAUGCAAUGUAUUAGGCAUAGUAAUACCUAUUUUGGUGGAAGAAUUGAAAUCGAUUGGUAUUUGCUAACUUCCUCCAAAGUUUUCGUCUAAAUAUGUUAGACAUAAUAAAAAAAGUAAACUUCAAUAAAUAAAUGUUAAACAGCAUGUCAUAUAAAUUUCUUUUCUUCAGUUAAAUAAAAUUGUCGACAAAAAAA